rnacentral:rRNA from 1 species
CAAGUCGAACGGUAACGCGGGGCAACCUGGCGACGAGUGGCGAACGGGUGAGUAAUAUAUCGGAACGUGCCCAGUCGUGGGGGAUAACUGCUCGAAAGAGCAGCUAAUACCGCAUACGACCUGAGGGUGAAAGCGGGGGAUCUUCGGACCUCGCGCGAUUGGAGCGGCCGAUAUCAGAUUAGGUAGUUGGUGGGGUAAAGGCCUACCAAGCCGACGAUCUGUAGCUGGUCUGAGAGGACGACCAGCCACACUGGGACUGAGACACGGCCCAGACUCCUACGGGAGGCAGCAGUGGGGAAUUUUGGACAAUGGGGGCAACCCUGAUCCAGCCAUGCCGCGUGCGGGAAGAAGGCCUUCGGGUUGUAAACCGCUUUUGUCAGGGAAGAAAUCCUUUGGGCUAAUAACUCGGAGGGAUGACGGUACCUGAAGAAUAAGCACCGGCUAACUACGUGCCAGCAGCCGCGGUAAUACGUAGGGUGCAAGCGUUAAUCGGAAUUACUGGGCGUAAAGCGUGCGCAGGCGGUUAUGCAAGACAGAUGUGAAAUCCCCGGGCUCAACCUGGGAACUGCAUUUGUGACUGCAUGGCUAGAGUACGGUAGAGGGGGAUGGAAUUCCGCGUGUAGCAGUGAAAUGCGUAGAUAUGCGGAGGAACACCGAUGGCGAAGGCAAUCCCCUGGACCUGUACUGACGCUCAUGCACGAAAGCGUGGGGAG